rnacentral:rRNA from 1 species
GUCCACGCCGUAAACGAUGAUUACUAGGUGUUGGUGGGUACGACCCAUCGGUGCCGCAGCAAACGCAGUAAGUAAUCCACCUGGGGAGUACGUUCGCAAGAAUGAAACUCAAAGGAAUUGACGGGGACCCCGCACAAGCGGUGGAGCAUGUGGUUUAAUUCGAAGCAACGCGAAGAACCUUACCUGGUCUUGACAUCCCUAUGAAUAACGGGCAAUGCCGUUAGUACUUCGGUACAUAGGAGACAGGUGGUGCAUGGUUGUCGU